UGGUGCUGGAGUUUUUCAUGCUUCU
rnacentral:piRNA from 1 species